rnacentral:rRNA from 1 species
GUUUCCUACGGGAGGCAGCAGUGAGGAAUAUUGGUCAAUGGCCGAGAGGCUGAACCAGCCAAGUCGCGUGAGGGAAGAAUGUCCUAUGGAUUGUAAACCUCUUUUACCGGGGAGCAAAUCGCGCCACGCGUGGCGCGUGAGAGAGUACCCGGGGAAAAAGCAUCGGCUAACUCCGUGCCAGCAGCCGCGGUAAUACGGAGGAUGCGAGCGUUAUCCGGAUUUAUUGGGUUUAAAGGGUGCGCAGGCGGUCUGUUAAGUCAGCGGUCAAAGCCCGGGGCUCAACCCCGGCCCGCCGUUGAAACUGG